CGACUCCGAAGGUAAUCGUCUGGACACAAGCAAAGCGCCCUGGGGCUGCGCUCCGACCUCAAAACCCCUCCCGAAAGAAGCCCCCGCCUUUUUUCCCAGCUCGCCCACCUCCCUGCCGGCCCCUCUCGGGCCGCGCCACUCCGGCAACUUCUGCAGCCAGCCCGCCCGCCGCCCGCGACCCCCUCCCGGCCCAGCGAGCCCUCCGCGCCCUCCCCCCCGCGGCGGCGGCCCCCGCGCCGCCCGCGCCUCCGCGCCGCCCGCGCGGGUCCUCGCCCCCUUCCCCCGAGGCCCCCGCCCGCGGCACCGCCCCCGCCGCACCCCACCCAGCCCGGGACCCCAGCCCACCCGGCCCCACCCGGGAAGGAGGGAGCCGCGGCCGCGCCGGGGCCCGCGAGCGCCAACACGGAGAGGGCUUUACCUCAGAGGCGCGGCCGCGAGCAGCGGGGUCGGUCCCGGGCGCGGGCGGCGCCCCCCGGUCCGUCAGUCAGCGGCGGCGGGGGCAGCGGCGGCGACGGCACAUCACACCCGCCGGGGCCGGAGGAGGAAAGCGAGCCGCGCAGGGAGGGAGCGAGCGAGAGAGCGAGGUAGGGGGGAAGGAACGAGCGAGGGAGGGAACGCCGCUCGGCUCGGACUCGGUCCCUGCACUACUGCCGGUGCCUCCUACCGCCGCCUCUGGCCGGAGAGUCGCCGCCCGAGUCGCUGCUGUCGCCACCGAUGCAGCCGGGAAUGAAUGCACAGCGGCGCCUCACUUAUCCGGAGGUCAAACAUCCUUCUGCCUCGGGCAUCCGGAUCGGCGCCGGACCCGGAAGUGAACACAUGGAAAAAAAAUAAAAAAGGAAAGCGUCUCUCUAGCGGCGGCUGCCCCGGAGCUGCCCGCAUCGACGAAAAGAGCCGAGUAGAGCCGAACAUUACACUGACGUGCUCGGAUUGGUCGGCUUGCUGACCGGAAGAAAGGCAGCACGCUGAUUGGCUGGCAAGGUGCUGCCUUUGUCUGGUUUUGGUAUCAGAGAAAUACUGGCCUCAUAAAAUAAGUUGAGAAUUGUCCUCUCCUCUUCUGUUAUCUGGAAGAGAUUGUGUAAAAUUGGUAUUAAUUCAUCUUUAAAAGAGUUGUACUUAGCAGGGAGAAGCAGGGAAAAACAAGUCUACACCAUCUUGUCCUGCUUGGAAGUGACUUUCACUUUUCACAGAUGCACAAGGACUCACUCAGUUCCAAAAGGUCUUGAAUUACUUGAAUUCUGUAUAAGCAGACAAGGAUUUAACAUGAAGAUGAGAAAGAAGAGGAGACAGAACCAUUCAUCAUUGACUUGAUCUCAACCUGAUACAGCACAAAUGGACAAAGAGGAAAAGCAAACCAACAACAUGAAACAGGGAACAAAGUUCUUUUCUUUGUAAUAGCUGCUGGCCAGCUUGUCUUUUCUUGAUAUUUACCUCUCUGCUUUAUGUUUUAUAUCUAACAUUGUGUUACAUGGAUUGCGAAAACUUUGUGAAACUUGGAGAGCAACUGUAGAGUUCAAUCAAACAGUUGAUUCAAAAAGAAGUUUGGCUCAAACUGUUGGGCAAGCACAGAACAUUAUAUCAUUCACCAGCUGUAGAUUAAAUGAGACAUCAGGAUGGUGAUUAGCAAUAACCUGUGUUUGUUCCUUAUUACCUUAUCUUCCUUCUUUUCUUUUCAGUCAUCAUUUGUGUGCAUUACCCACGUGGCUUCCUUAAGAAGCGUUACAUGAGUAUUAUUUCGUACCCUGAAGAGAAACUAUUUUGAUUCCAUAUACUUAUUAUUGAUCAAAUUCCACCAGUGAAAGUGAAAAAUACUAUUUAUUGAAACUCCUUAUUGAAAUUUCAUUUAAA
ensembl:lncRNA